rnacentral:rRNA from 1 species
GACGAACGCUGGCGGCGUGCCUAAUACAUGCAAGUUGAGCGCUGAAGGUUGGUACUUGUACCAACUGGAUGAGCAGCGAACGGGUGAGUAACGCGUGGGGAAUCUGCCUUUGAGCGGGGGACAACAUUUGGAAACGAAUGCUAAUACCGCAUAAAAACUUUAAACACAAGUUUUAAGUUUGAAAGAUGCAAUUGCAUCACUCAAAGAUGAUCCCGCGUUGUAUUAGCUAGUUGGUGAGGUAAAGGCUCACCAGGGCGAUGAUACAUAGCCGACCUGAGAGGGUGGUCGGCAACAUUGGGACUGGGACACGGCCCAAACUCCUACGGGAGGCAGCAGUAGGGAAUCUUCGGCAAUGGACGAAAGUCUGACCGAGCAACGCCGCGUGAGUGAAGAAGGUUUUCGGAUCGUAAAACUCUGUUGGUAGAGAAGAACGUUGGUGAGAGUGGAAAGCUCAUCAAGUGACGGUAACUACCCAGAAAGGGACGGCUAACUACGUG